rnacentral:lncRNA from 1 species
CAAACUAUGGUACGAUAUACGACCACGGUCGUACCAACCAUAGUGACCCUAACAGAUAUCUAUAGUCACGACAUUACUUAGCCAAGGGUGACUCUUAGAGAUAUUCACGUUACCACUCUAGUCAGAGGGUACGCCGUCAUCCACUGGGAGCGGUCCUCUUACAUCUUUUCAGACCAGAUAAGGGAAGGAGAAACAGAUACCCUAAAGGGUAAGGGGAACAAAUACCCUUCAGAAAUAAAAAUCCU